CCUACGGUGGGCAGCAGUGGGGAAUAUUGCGCAAUGGGCGAAAGCCUGACGCAGCGACGCCGCGUGAGGGAUGAAGGUCUUCGGAUCGUAAACCUCUGUCAGCAGGGAAGAACGGUCACUGUGCUAAUCAGCAGUGAAUUGACGGUACCUGCCAAGGAAGCACCGGCUAACUCCGUGCCAGCAGCCGCGGUAAUACGGAGGGUGCGAGCGUUAUCCGGAAUUACUGGGUGUAAAGGUAGCGUAGACGGCGAGGUAAGCCUGAGGUGGAAGCCCGCGGCCCAACCGCGGAACUGCUUUGGGAACUGUUUUGCUGGAGUAUGGGAGGGGUAAGCGGAAUUCCUGGUGUAGCGGUGAAAUGCGUAGAUAUCAGGAGGAACACCGGUGGCGAAGGCGGCUUACUGGACCAUAACUGACGUUGAGGCUCGAAAGCGUGGGGAGCGAACAGGAUUAGAUACCCGGGUAGUC
rnacentral:rRNA from 1 species